ACGACUCUUGACAAUGGAUAUCUAGGCUCUCACAUCGAUGAAGAGCACAGCGAAAUGCGAUACGUGGUGCGAAUUGCAGAAUCCCGCGAACCAUCGAGUCUUUGAACUCAAGUUUCGCCCGAGGCCAAUCAGUCGAGGGCACAUCCGCUUGGGCGUCAAGC
rnacentral:rRNA from 1 species